UCUGCGAUUUCCGAAUGGGGAAACCCAACUGCAUAAGCAGUUACUGUUAACUGAAUACAUAGGUUAACAGAGCAAACCGGGGGAACUGAAACAUCUAAGUACCCCGAGGAGAAGAAAUCAACCGAGAUUCCGGUAGUAGCGGCGAGCGAACCUGGAUUAGCCCUUAAGCACUCGGUGAAGUAGGUGAACAAGCUGGAAAGCUUGGCGAUACAGGGUGAUAGCCCCGUAACCGACGCUUCAUCGAGCGUGAAAUCGAGUAGGGCGGGACACGUGAUAUCCUGUCUGAAUAUGGGGGGACCAUCCUCCAAGGCUAAAUACUCCUGACUGACCGAUAGUGAACCAGUACCGUGAGGGAAAGGCGAAAAGAACCCCUGUGAGGGGAGUGAAAUAGAACCUGAAACCGUGUACGUACAAGCAGUAGGAGCACCUUCGUGGUGUGACUGCGUACCUUUUGUAUAAUGGGUCAGCGACUUAUAUUCAGUGGCAAGGUUAACCGUAUAGGGGAGCCGUAGCGAAAGCGAGUCUUAACUGGGCGCUCAGUCUCUGGAUAUAGACCCGAAACCGGGUGAUCUAGCCAUGGGCAGGUUGAAGGUUGAGUAACAUCAACUGGAGGACCGAACCGACUAAUGUUGAAAAAUUAGCGGAUGACUUGUGGCUAGGGGUGAAAGGCCAAUCAAACUCGGAGAUAGCUGGUUCUCCCCGAAAGCUAUUUAGGUAGCGCCUCGGACGAAUACUACUGGGGGUAGAGCACUGUUAAGGCUAGGGGGUCAUCCCGACUUACCAACCCUUUGCAAACUCCGAAUACCAGUAAGUACUAUCCGGGAGACACACGGCGGGUGCUAACGUCCGUCGUGGAGAGGGAAACAACCCAGACCGCCAGCUAAGGUCCCAAAGUAUUGCUAAGUGGGAAACGAUGUGGGAAGGCUCAGACAGCUAGGAUGUUGGCUUAGAAGCAGCCAUCAUUUAAAGAAAGCGUAAUAGCUCACUAGUCGAGUCGGCCUGCGCGGAAGAUGUAACGGGGCUAAGCAAUACACCGAAGCUGCGGCAAUAUCUUUUAGAUAUUGGGUAGGGGAGCGUUCUGUAAGCCGUUGAAGGUGAAUCGUAAGGUUUGCUGGAGGUAUCAGAAGUGCGAAUGCUGACAUGAGUAACGACAAAGGGGGUGAAAAACCUCCUCGCCGGAAGACCAAGGGUUCCUGUCCAACGUUAAUCGGGGCAGGGUGAGUCGACCCCUAAGGUGAGGCCGAAAGGCGUAAUCGAUGGGAAACGGGUUAAUAUUCCCGUACUUCUGACUAUUGCGAUGGGGGGACGGAGAAGGCUAGGUGGGCCAGGCGACGGUUGUCCUGGUUCAAGUGCGUAGGCUUGAGAGUUAGGUAAAUCCGGCUCUCUCUAAGGCUGAGACACGACGUCGAGCUGCUACGGCAGUGAAGUCAUUGAUGCCAUGCUUCCAGGAAAAGCCUCUAAGCUUCAGAUAGUCAGGAAUCGUACCCCAAACCGACACAGGUGGUCGGGUAGAGAAUACCAAGGCGCUUGAGAGAACUCGGGUGAAGGAACUAGGCAAAAUGGUACCGUAACUUCGGGAGAAGGUACGCUCUUGAUGGUGAAGUCCCUCGCGGAUGGAGCUGACGAGAGUCGCAGAUACCAGGUGGCUGCAACUGUUUAUUAAAAACACAGCACUGUGCAAAAUCGCAAGAUGACGUAUACGGUGUGACGCCUGCCCGGUGCCGGAAGGUUAAUUGAUGGGGUUAGCGCAAGCGAAGCUCUUGAUCGAAGCCCCGGUAAACGGCGGCCGUAACUAUAACGGUCCUAAGGUAGCGAAAUUCCUUGUCGGGUAAGUUCCGACCUGCACGAAUGGCGUAAUGAUGGCCACGCUGUCUCCACCCGAGACUCAGUGAAAUUGAAAUCGCUGUGAAGAUGCAGUGUACCCGCGGCUAGACGGAAAGACCCCGUGAACCUUUACUACAGCUUGGCACUGAACAUUGAACCUACAUGUGUAGGAUAGGUGGGAGGCUAUGAAGACGUGACGCCAGUUGCGUUGGAGCCGUCCUUGAAAUACCACCCUUGUAUGUUUGAUGUUCUAACUUAGACCCAUUAUCUGGGUUGAGGACAGUGCCUGGUGGGUAGUUUGACUGGGGCGGUCUCCUCCCAAAGAGUAACGGAGGAGCACGAAGGUGGGCUAAUCACGGUUGGACAUCGUGAGGUUAGUGCAAUGGCAUAAGCCCGCUUAACUGCGAGAAUGACGGUUCGAGCAGGUGCGAAAGCAGGUCAUAGUGAUCCGGUGGUUCUGUAUGGAAGGGCCAUCGCUCAACGGAUAAAAGGUACUCCGGGGAUAACAGGCUGAUACCGCCCAAGAGUUCAUAUCGACGGCGGUGUUUGGCACCUCGAUGUCGGCUCAUCACAUCCUGGGGCUGAAGUCGGUCCCAAGGGUAUGGCUGUUCGCCAUUUAAAGUGGUACGCGAGCUGGGUUUAGAACGUCGUGAGACAGUUCGGUCCCUAUCUGCCGUGGGCGUUGGAAGAUUGAAGGGGGCUGCUCCUAGUACGAGAGGACCGGAGUGGACGAACCUCUGGUGUUCGGGUUGUGUCGCCAGACGCAUUGCCCGGUAGCUAAGUUCGGAAUUGAUAAGCGCUGAAAGCAUCUAAGCGCGAAGCGAGCCCUGAGAUGAGUCUUCCCUGACAGUUUAACUGUUCUAAAGGGUUGUUCGAGACUAGAACGUUGAUAGGCAGGGUGUGUAAGCGUUGUGAGGCGUUGAGCUAA
rnacentral:rRNA from 1 species